AAUAGGUCGUAUGAAUAAACUGAGCAAAAGCUUUUACUUUACUCAGAUCCACCUGUCAGAUCAUUUUCUUGAGCAUUUACUCAAGUUGGUAUGAUAAAACUGAGAACUUGAGCAUUUACUUUUCGAACAUCGGGAUUCGUAUGAAUAGGUCAUAUGAAUAAAAUCCAGUACUUGCUCAUGCUCAACCCGAUUUGAGCGAAGUAAAGUCUCUGAGCAUUUACUCAAAACCGUAUGAAUAAAACGGUACUUUGCUCAGAGUAAGUUCGAAUUUCGAACUUAGCAUUUACUCUGUCAAAAAUAUUGUUUUGUUUUGGACAGAUGAUUUUUGCAGAGAAGAAGAUUCCGAGCGGUGCAAAAAGUAGUGUUCUUGUGAAUGUUUUGCCGUUUUCUGCAGACUGCUGAAGCCACAUAACAGCCCGGAAAAGCUCAAACGGGGGAAAGUGAAGCCAUCCUGUGCAAGCUGCAAGGGCUAAACACGGUUUUCACAACUAUGGAUGUGUCUGCAGUGUGGUGGCAACCGAUCCCUCUGCAACGGCACCCAUCGAAUCAGCAAAUGAUCGUGAUAUCCAGCGGAAUCGCCACAACUUAAGUGCACCAAACAGCAACGUCGAUCGGAGUCCUGCGGGUCGAUACAACAAGCAACCGCACCAGCAAGAUAAUUUUGCUGCCAUGUGUGGAUUCAACAUGCCACAGGCGACCGGAUCGGUAGUCAGUGAAGGAACCGCGGGACAAGGCAAUGGAACUGCAGUUAACGCCUACAACGGUGAUGCGAUAAGCAAACAGGCAAACAAGCAGAUUGCAAAAUAGUUUCUCAAACGGAGAGACGGUAGGUUUGAGAAUGACAUGGCCAUCUCUGGUCGUUGAAAAGAUGAAUAAACUAAAACUACGAAACUAAAAA